rnacentral:rRNA from 1 species
AAUGGCAGGUCAGCAUACUGCCGUGAAUACGUUCCCGGGCCCUUGUACACACCGCCCGUCACACCAUGAGAGUUGGAGAUACCCGAAGCCUGUGAGCUAACUUUUUAAGAGGCAGCAGUCGAAGGUAGAAUCAAUGAUUGGGGUGAAGUCGUAACAAGGUAAC